AAACUUUGCAAACAAUCGGAUGCCUGUGCAAAUUGCAUAGAUAAACAGGAAGAGUCUUAAUUAAGAAGAAAUGUGAUGGUGUAAAUUUGUAUUGGAUACAGAGUGGUGCAAAUUAUAGUAAAGUGUUUCACAUUCAAAUACCUGUCCGAACAACCAGAUGGCGUUAAUGAUUGCUUGCCGCCAUAACAAAGUGCGAACAGCAUGGCCUAAAGUGAAAGACCCGCAAAAGAAUUUGCAUUGGCAGGACAACAAAAACAAUAAAUAAAAUAUUGCGUGAAUUUUAACACAUUCGCAAUGAAAUUGAAAGUGCGAUAACUUGUAAACAAAAAAUCUGUAAAAAAACAUUUGUAAAAAAAUGCAAAAAAAAUUAACAAAGCCAAAAAAAAAUCAAAUAAAAUUUAGAUAUUUUUAACACAGUUAAAUGCAUAAAAUUUUUUAUCUGGCACAUUGUUCUUUGUACAGCUCAACAAUAUUUAUGAUUUCGUUAUUCUCGCAUAGCUCAAGUGGAAUUUUCAUUAUCGUGU